rnacentral:lncRNA from 13 species
AUUUUCCUCUAACCACAGCCAAACUUCUUUUAAAAAAAGCUUAAAUUCCCAGGCUCUUUCUAUACUUUGAGAUGCAAAUUUUCGCCUUUAGAAAUGCAAAUUUAGGGUUGCCUAGCUAACAGUUGCCUAGGGCAGUAAAACAGGUAAUUGGAGAGUGAAUUAAAAAAAACCUCACUAUUUAAAACUGACAGAUGAAAAAUCUUAUACAUCUGCAAGAGCUGCUUCUGUUCAUGUUUGUCUAUGUAUAUAUAUGUUUUAUGUGUAUGUGAUAUUUCACUACCAAAAUAUAUGAAAACACUCCAACUUAAUGAAAAGGUGACAUUGACUAUUGCUAAGACAGCUGGAACUUCCAAAAUGACCUCACUCAUGUGGCUAGCAAGUGUGCUCAUGGUUGGCUGGAAGCAGAGCUGGGACUAUGACCAGGAGUUCUGGUUCUCCUCCCUAUGACCUCUCCACGUGGAUUACUGGGCUCCUCUCAGUGUGAAAGCUGAUUUCCAACAAAGAGCAUUCCAAAAUUAAGAGUUCCCAGUGUUCAUAAGUGGUUGUAUAGUCUUCUCUUGCAUCACACUUGCUAAGCACCCACUGGGCAAAUCUAAUCACAUGGCCAAGACCUGAGUCAGUGGGGAUGGGGAUACACACGGCAAAAUACCAGGAGGCAUGCUUCAUUAAGGAUCAAUAAAAUAGCAAGUAAAUACA